rnacentral:rRNA from 1 species
AUUGAACGCUGGCGGCAGGCCUAACACAUGCAAGUCGAGCGGAGCGGCCGACGGACGGGUAAUGCCUAGGAAGCUAUCUGGCAGUGGGGGAUAAAGUCCGGAAAGGGGCGCUAAUAACUAAUAUUCUCAGAUGAGCCUAGGUCGGAUUAGCUAGCUGGUGGGGUAACGGCCUACCAAGGCGACGAUCCGUAACUGGUCUGAGAGGAUGAUCAGUCACACUGGAACUGAGACACGGUCCAGACUCCUACGGGAGGCAGCAGUGGGGAAUAUUGGACAAUGGGCGAAAGCCUGAUCCAGCCAUGCCGCGUGUGUGAAGAAGGUCUUCGGAUUGUAAAGCACUUUAAGUUGGGAGGCGUUACCAACAGAAUAAGCACCGGCUAACUUCGUGCCAGCAGCCGCGGUAAUAC